ensembl:lncRNA
CUAGAAGUGUGUGCUGUUUUGGCCAGUGGGGCAUGGAAAAGUGUGUUUCCUCUGUGUCAUUACAACGCCAUUCAUCCGGAUGUCAGGCCUCCGCUUCAGUCAUCCAUCGUAGAGACUCUGAUCGGUGUUGGCUCUGGUGCCAUACCUGUGCUUGGCGAAGGUCAAAUCACUGUCGAGAUCAAUAACCGUCAGGCGAGCCUCCUCUUCCUGGUUGCUGAUAUAGCUGGUGACGAGGCCCUCCUGGGCUAUCCAUUCCUGAGCCAGGCCCAGGCACGUCUUGAUUUUGGGAAUCAACGGAUUGUGCUUUUCGUAGAAGGGGUGCCAUAUUUCGAUUCCACAAACAAAACAAAGGCGCAAGCAGUGAGAGUGGCCCGGACGACGUUGCUGGAGGCUGGACAGGAGUAUGUGGACACGCUGGACACCCUCUCUGAUGCCAAGUGGAUCAGCACCCUGGACCACGCGGCCGGCUACUGGCAAGUCGAACUGUCCCCAAGAGCAUGCAAAGCAGCAGCAUUCUGCACCAAAAAUUGACUUUUUGAAUGGAAUGUCAUGCCAUUUGGACUGUGUAAUACUCUGGCGACAUUCCAGCGCUUGAUGGACCACGUGCUGACUGGCAUGCAGUGGGAGACCUGCCUAGUGUACCUGGACGACAUCAUCGUUCUGGGCAGCGAUGUUCCGCAGAUGCUGCAGCGACUUGGCCAGGUCGUCUCCACCAGGCCAAACUGAAACUAAAACCGUCGAAGUGCUGCCUCUUCCGCCGCCAAGUAGCCUAUCUGGGUCACAUUGUUUCAGAGAGCAGUGUGUUGCCACUGACCCCAACAAAGUCCAGAAAGUGCAGGACUCACCAACAGCGAAGUCACUCGAAGAUGUCCGUCGCUUUGUGGGCCUUGCACCUUACUAUCGGCGGUUCGAUACGCAGGAAGAUGACGCAGACAUCAGGUCCUGGUUGGAAACCAGCGGAGAACGUCCUGCAUGGGUAACAGUCUCAUCAUGCAGCCCAGCCACAUUAACAUAUUGGAGCCAGUGUAAGCCCUCGUUCUCAAAGGCCCCAACGCAGGCGUAGACCACCGACUCAGUUUGGUGAGUGGGUGGCUCACUGAGUGCCCGGGGCAUGGGCAGUUCCAAGAGUUAAAGGGCAAUGUUUACAAUGUUAUAAAUAAAAAAGAAGUUGCUUACCGCUUAUAUUUUGCUUA